rnacentral:rRNA from 1 species
UGCAACCUGAGCUCAGUCGUGAUUACC